ACUCCUACGGGAGGCAGCAGUAGGGAAUCUUCCACAAUGGACGAAAGUCUGAUGGAGCAAUGCCGCGUGAGUGAAGAAGGGUUUCGGCUCGUAAAACUCUGUUGUUAAAGAAGAACACCUUUGAGAGUAACUGUUCAAGGGUUGACGGUAUUUAACCAGAAAGCCACGGCUAACUACGUGCCAGCAGCCGCGGUAAUACGUAGGUGGCAAGCGUUGUCCGGAUUUAUUGGGGCGUAAAGCGAGCGCAGGCGGUUUUUUAAGUCUCAUGUGAAAGCCUUCGGCUUAACCGGAGAAGUGCAUCGGAAACUGGGAGACUUGAGUGCAGAAGAGGACAGUGGAACUCCAUGUGUAGCGGUGGAAUGCGUAGAUAUAUGGAAGAACACCAGUGGCGAAGGCGGCUGUCUAGUCUGUAACUGACGCUGAGGCUCGAAAGCAUGGGUAGCGAACAGGAUUAGAUACCCUGGUAGGAUAGCG
rnacentral:rRNA from 1 species